rnacentral:rRNA from 1 species
AUUGAACGCUGGCGGCAGGCUUAACACAUGCAAGUCGAGCGGAGCGGCGGACGGGCGAGUAAUGCCUAGGAAUCUGACUGGCAGUGGGGGAUAACGUCAGGAAACGGGAGAAAAGACCGUAUACUCUCAGGCUAGCCUAGGUCGGAUUAGCUAGUUGGUGGGGUAAAGGCGUACAAAGGCGACGAUCCGUCACUGGUCUGAGAGGAUGAUCAGUCACCCUGGAACUGAGACACGGUCCAGACUCCUACGGGAGGCAGCAGUGGGGAAUAUUGGACAAUGGGCGAAAGCCUGAUCCAGCCAUGCCGCGUGUGUGAAGAAGGUCUUCGGAUUGUAAAGCACUUUAAGUUGGGAGGCGUUACCAACAGAAUAAGCACCGGCUAACUUCGUGCCAGCAGCCGCGGUAAUUC